rnacentral:lncRNA from 1 species
CCCUUCAUACAUCUUCAAAUUGAAGAGUCUCUUGGAUACUUCGAAGCAUGCUGUAUGGCUCUGCUCACCAUACAACUCUUGUAGAUGAGUGAUCAUAGUCCUGACAGUGGGUAUAUGCUCAUGCUGACUCUGCAACUCAUUUGAUAUAGAUGCCAGCAUAUAGCACUUGAUCUGACUGUCUUCAUCCGUCCACUUUGUAUAAGCAGCUCUUUGCUCACUAGUAGGACGG